CCUACGGGUGGCAGCAGUAGGGAAUUUUCCGCAAUGGGGGGAACCCUGACCGAGCAACGCCGCGUGAACGAAGAAGUUAUUCGUAAUGUACAGUUCUUUUAACAGGGAAGAAAGAGAAAUUUGACGGUACCUGAAGAAUAAGCUCCGGCUAACUACGUGCCAGCAGCCGCGGUAAUACGUAGGGAGCGAGCGUUAUCCGGAAUUAUUGGGCGAAAGGGGUGCGUAGAGGGCAUAGUAAUACUUUUGGAAAAAAGCUGGGCCAAACCAAGUAGGGCAAAAGAUACUGCAAAGCUAGAGUAUGACAGAGGCAAGUGGAACUACAUGUGUAGCGGUAAAAUGCGUAAAUAUAAGUAAGAACACCAGUGGUGAAGGCGGCUUGCUGGGUCGAUACUGACAUUGAGGCACGAAAGCGUGGGGAGCAAACAGGAUUAGAUACCCCAGUAGUC
rnacentral:rRNA from 1 species